rnacentral:rRNA from 1 species
CUACGGGAGGCAGCAGUCGAGGAAAUUUUACAAUGCUCGCAAGAGUGAUAAAAUGAGCCAGAGUGUUUCUCCUAGAGAAACUUUUAUUUGUUGUAAAAAGACAGAUGAAUAAGGACUGGGCAAGACCGGUGCCAGCCGCCGCGGUAAUACCGGCGGUCCAAGUCGCAUCCACAAUUUAUUGAGUCUAAAACAUUCGUAGCUUGUUUCGCAAGUCUCUUGUGAAAUCCUAUAUCUCAAAUAUAGGGCGUGCAAGAGAUACUGUAUUACUAGAGACCGGAAGACGCAAAAAGUAUUGUUGAGGUAGCGGUAAAAUGUGUUAAUCUCAAUUAGACUAACAAUGGCGAAGGCAUUUUGCGAGUACGGAUCUGACAGUGAGGGAUGAAGGCUAGGGGCGCAAAAGGGAUUAGAUACCCUCGUAGUC